rnacentral:rRNA from 1 species
UCCUAUGGCCAUACCAGUCUGAAAGUGCCAGAUCUCAGAAGCCGUCCAGGCUUGGGCCUGGUUAGUACUUGUAUGGGAGACCAACUAGGAACCUCAGGUGCCAUAAUAU